rnacentral:rRNA from 1 species
GAUGAACGCUGGCGGCGUGCCUAAUACAUGCAAGUCGAGCGAAUGGAUUGAGAGCUUGCUCUUAUGAAGUUAGCGGCGGACGGGUGAGUAACACGUGGGUAACCUGCCCAUAAGACUGGGAUAACUCCGGGAAACCGGGGCUAAUACCGGAUAACAUUUUGAACCGCAAGGUUCGAAAUUGAAAGGCGGCUUCGGCUGUCAACUAUGGAUGGACCCGGUUCGCAUUAGCUAGUUGGUGAGGUAACGGCUCACCAAGGCAACGAUGCGUAGCCGACCUGAGAGGGUGAUCGGCCUCACUGGGACUGAGACACGGCCCAGACUCCUACGGGAGGCAGCAGUAGGGAAUCUUCCGCAAUGGACGAAAGUCUGACGGAGCAACGCCGCGUGAGUGAUGAAGGCUUUCGGGUCGUAAAACUCUGUUGUUAGGGAAGAACAAGUGCUAGUUGAAUAAGCUGGCACCUUGACGGUACCUAACCAGAAAGCCACGGCUAACUACGUGCCAGCAGCCGCAGUAA